GAGGAGGAUUUGCAGCAAGAGGUGAGUAAUUGUAAUUGGACAGAGAUGCAUGCCGCGCCUGAUAGGAACAUAAAGGAUGACGAGGCCGAUGGUGCUGCAGAGAAGGAGUUCAUUGAUCUAGAAGCUGAAGAGGGGAAGAAGAGAAAGCAGAUCGCAACCAAAUCAGAAAUGUGGGAUCACUACACCAAAAUCUUUGAUGAAGGUCAGUUGGUCAAGGCACAGUGCAAGUAUUGUAGCAGUCAAAUUGCAGCACAUCCGGUUCUAAAUGGUACAUCUGGUAUGCGUAAACAUUAUAAUGCUUGCAAGAGUAAUCCUCAUGUAGAGUCUAAACAAGGUAUUUUGUCAAUAACUCAAGGCACUAGUGUUGGUACUUGGAAGUUUGAUCCUGAAUUGCUUAGGUCUGCUUUUGCUGAAAUGAUCAUAGAAGAUGAGGAACCAUUUGCUAAAGGUGAAAAACCUGAUUUUAGGAAGUUCAUGUCUGUUGCUUGCCCUAGGUUCACUUUGCCAUCUAGAAGGACAUGCACUAGGGACUGUGUGCAAUUGUACUUUGAGCAGAAAGCAAACUUGAAACUUUUCUUUCAAGAACAAUGCAAUAGAGUUUGCCUCACAACCGAUGGUUGGACAUCACCAGCAGUAAGAGAAUUAUAUGACUGUGACAGUCCACUUUAUUGACAAAGAUUGGUGCUUGCAUAAAAAGAUAAUUAGUUUUUUCAAGGUAAAAGACAAAAAGGGAGAUGAUAUUGGGAAACACUUGCAUAAAGUCUUAAUUGAAUGGGGUUUAGACAAAGUAAUGACAGUAACGGUAGAUAAUGCAAGUGCAAAUGAUAGUGGUGUUUCUUAUUUGAGAAGACAAAUGAAUAGUUUGAAAACUAGCAUAGCAGAGGGCAAGUACCUUCACAUGAGAUGUGCUGCACAUAUACUUAACUUGAUUGUCCAAGAUGGUUUGAAAGAAGUAGACCAAUCUAUCAAGCGUGUGCGGGCUGCGGUUAAAUUCAUUAGGGGUGGUACAUCAAGAUUGGAAAAAUUUAAAGAGAUUGCUCAAUGGGAGAAAGUGGACAGCAAAGCAUUCUUAAACCUUGCUGUGUGCACUAGAUGGAAUUCCACAUAUGAUAUGCUAAAAGCUGCUUGCACAUAUGAAAAGGUGUUUGCAAGGUAUCCAGAGGAAGAUCCAUACUACACAAUUGAGUUGCUUAGUGACAUUAAGCCCGGUGUUCCUGGUCCAGGAGUUCCUGAUGAGCAUGACUUUGAUAAUGCAAAAAAACUAGCUGACUUUUUAGGGCAUUUUGCUGAUGUUACAAACCGUGUUUCAACAUCGUUAAGUGUGACUGCUCAUACUUAUUUUCAUGAGAUUGGAGAGGUCAAUGAAUUGGUGAAAGAAAUGGAUGAGUAGUUCUGAUUUUAUGCAGCAAGAAAUGGGGUUAAGAAUGAAAGACAAGUAUGACAAGUAUUGGGGGCAUUGGCAUGACAAUUUAGAGUUGCAAAAUGAGAAGGGAAAGGGAAAAGAAAAGGAGAAGGAAAAUAUGAACUUGCUGAUUUUUAUUGCUGUUGUACUUGAUCCUAGAUACAAGCUUUCAUAAUAUACAGAAAUUGCAAUAGAUGAGAUGUAUGGUGACGGUUUUGGACAGAAAGUUUGGACUGUAAUUACCAAAUGUUUGCAUGAACUUUUUGAAGAAUACAGGAACAAUAAUUCUUCUUCAAGUGAAGUGCAGUCCGAACCAAGUGAUUCGCCCCCAUCUAAGCAAGGUGGAGAGAGUGCUAGAAAAUUGAGGACUAGAAUUGCUAAGAAGAUGAAGCUAGCUAGUGGAACAGCAGGGACAUGCAGCAGGGGCAGCAGGACUGAACUUGAUAGAUAAUUGGCUGAAGAGUGUGAAGAAGAUACAAAAAAGUUUGAUAUUCUUGCUUGGUGGAAGGGGCAGUCUACUAGAUUUCCUAUAUUGUCCACAAUGGCUCGUGAUGUGCUCGCCAUACCAAUUUCCACAGUUGCUAGUGAAUCUGCCUUUAGCACAUCUGGGAGGAUUCUAGAUGAUUUUAGGACUUCACUAACUCCAUUUAUGGUUGAAGCUCUUGUUUGCACUCAAGAUUAGCUUAGAAGAGCAACUCCUAUCAAUAUUGAAGAAAAUACAGAAGAGUUGGCCAAACUAGAAGAAGAAAUUAUUCAAGAAUUGAAGGACAAGGCUACUGUUGAUGCACAUGCUGCGCCGUCACAAAUCCAAGGCAGCAAAAAAAAGAUGGUUACAUCCACCAACAUCAGCUCACAGCCAAGCAAAAGCUUAAGCUCCAAGAACAAGAGCUUAUCUAAAGAUAAAUGACCAUCUUGUGAUUGUGAAGAACUGAACUACUGAAGUGAUCAAGUGAAGUCUGAAGGUGCUGCCGUGCUGGUGCUUGCUGUUGCCUGUUGGUCUAAUGGUCUUGGUGCUGACUGCUGAGAGCUACUGAGUUGGAGACUUGAAUUCUAUGUAAUGCUUGAUUGCUUGCUACUGAGUUGGUCAUUUGAAUUUGAGACAACAAAAAUAUCUAUGUGUUUGUGUUGUACUGUAAUGCUUGCUGCUACUAUAAUGCUA